GACGAACGCUGGCGGCGUGCUUAACACAUGCAAGUCGAACGGAAAGGCCCUGCUUUUGUGGGGUGCUCGAGUGGCGAACGGGUGAGUAACACGUGAGUACCCUCCCCUUGCCUUUGGGAUAACUUCAGAAAACUGGGGCUAUUACGGGAAAGGAUUUCCUGCGUCUUGGUGGGGGUUGGAAGGUUUCGGCGGUUGGGGAUGGACUCGCGGCUUAUCAGCUUGUUGGUGGGGUAGUGGCUUACCAAGGCUUUGACGGGUAGCCGGCCUGAGAGGGUGACCGGCCACAUUGGGACUGAGAUACGGCCCAGACUCCUACGGGAGGCAGCAGUGGGGAAUAUUGCACAAUGGGCGGAAGCCUGAUGCAGCAACGCCGCGUGCGGGAUGACGGCCUUCGGGUUGUAAACCGCUUUCGCCUGUGACGAAGCGUGAGUGACGGUAAUGGGUAAAGAAGCACCGGCUAACUACGUG
rnacentral:rRNA from 1 species